rnacentral:lncRNA from 1 species
ACCGAUGUAUUCUGGUUCACCACAACACGUGGCUAGUCCAGUCCCCGAGAGACUCUCUCGAGAUUUUCCACUAACUUGUCAAGAUUACGGGUGCUCAACAAACCUUUACAACUUAAGGACACAAGCCUUAACACCUUUGCCCGAAGAUACAACAGUCCAAGACUUCACUGUUAAGCUUACGGGUGCCUAACCAACCUUUACAGCUUAAGGACACACGCCUUAACACCUUUGCUCGGUGAUACAACACUCCAAGACUUCAACCAAGAAAACACAAGUUCCUUACAACAAGAGAAUCACAAUUCUCUUACAUGUGUAUAAAACACUAAACACUCAAACAAAAUACUCCUUAAUGAGUAGAUAUGAGUAAAAGAAGUAAGCUCUAGAUCACAACAACUUUGGACAAGAAUAU